rnacentral:rRNA from 1 species
GACGAACCGUACGAACGUUAUUCGGAAUCACUGGGCUUAAAGGGUGCGUAGGCGGCGCGGAAAGUUGGGUGUGAAAUCCCUCGGCUUAACCGAGGAACCGCGCCCAAAACUACCGUGCUCGAGGGAGAUAGAGGUGAGCGGAACUUAGGGUGGAGCGGUGAAAUGCGUUGAUAUCCUAAGGAACACCAGUUGCGAAAGCGGCUCACUGGAUCUCUUCUGACGCUGAGGCACGAAAGCUAGGGUAGCGAACGGG